GAGGAUAUAGCUUAAGUGGUACAGAGCACAUGCCUAGCAUGCACGAGGCCCUGUGUUCAAUCCCCAGUACCUCCA
rnacentral:tRNA from 1 species